rnacentral:ncRNA from 2 species
UUUUUAUUUGGAGAUGGAGUUCUCCCUUAAACCGUCCUGUAAAGACUGAUAACUCCUACUAAAAU